rnacentral:rRNA from 1 species
CCUACGGGCGGCAGCAGUAGGGAAUAUUGGACAAUGAGGGGAACCCUGAUCCAGCGACGCCGCGUGAGUGAAGAAGUAUUUCGGUAUGUAAAGCUCUAUCAGCAGGGAAGAAAGAAAUGACGAUACCUGACUAACAAGCCCAGGCUAACUACGUGCCAGCCGCCGCGGUAAUACGUAGGAGGCAAGCGUUAUCCGGAUUUACUGGGUGUAAAGGGAGCGUAGAUGGCGAUGCAAGUCUUAAGGGAAAGGCGGGGGACAAAACCCUGGACUGCUUUGGAAACUGGAAGGCUGGAGUGCAGGAGAGGUAAGUGGAAUUCCUAGUGGAGCGGUGAAAUGCGUAGAUAUUAGGAGGAACACCAGUGGCGAAGGCGGCUUACUGGACUGUAACUGACGUUGAGGCUCGAAAGCGUGGGGAGCAAACAGGAUUAGAUACCCUAGUAGUC